AUGAACAUGUUUAUUUCCCUCGUUCAAACAUAGUUGGAAUUUAAAUUUUCGUGAAUGUGCUUGUCCAUAAACAAAAGUUGGGUGUAAACAAAAUUUCUCUUUUCUAUAUUCUUCCUAAAUUUUAAGUUGGGACCUUAUUUAAAUAGCCCAUUUUAGAUGCUAUAGCAGCGGACUUAACGAUGUCUCCUCCCUCUUUAACCGGCUAAGAGAGUUUCAUUCAGCCUCUUUUGGACUUUAUGGAUUUAUGUUGUCUCACAACUUAAAUCCAUGGGCCCCAAUUGGGUCUAGGCCCAAUGAACUUUGAAAUCCGUGACUAAUUUCAAACCCAAAUGAAUUCCCAAUGUUUGUACUUUGUAGGAUUAAUCGACUUUUAUUUCAAUCUCUUCAUUUAAUGAAUUAACUAUUUUAAUUGAUCUUAACUAUUCCAACAAAAAAAAAAAAACUGAUCUUAACUAUCCUUGUUAAUUUCUUCAAUCUAUUUCUCAAACGGGUGUAGAUCCAUAAUAUUUUAAUUAGCAAGGCAGUGAGUAAUACCUUUUUUCUUCAAAGAUUAGUAAAUUAAAAUAAAUUCUAAUUCUCACAUGUCACGAAUGAUGCCAAGUAGUAUGUUGUUAUUAUCAAAAUUUAUUUAGUUAAACUACAAUACAAUACAAUACAAUAUUUCUCUCAAAUCAAUACUCUAUGUCACAUUGAUCUAGGCUAUCAUGUCGUAGGCCUAAGGCGAUCCAUCUAUGAUUCCCUUAAAUGUGAUUAUCAUUUCUCAUUCUUUUUCUUUUUCUUUUCUUUUUUGUCAAACAUUGUUUUUGUUAAAGUACUAUUUUUUUAGUGCAAUGAGAUGAGACCAAGUCUUGACAUAUUAGUUGCAACGCAAUAAUUGCAUAUGGUUGCGGCAACUUUGAGCUUUUUGUAUAUUAAUGUAUUAUACAGAAAGGGUUGUUAUUGACAAUCUAAAAGGCAUCAUGUUGUAUGCUAUUAAAUAAUAUCCACUAUUAUUGUAACGCCUUAGAUUUAGAAUCGGCGGAACAAUUAAAUUCCCGAACUCGAUGCGUGGAUAAAAAAUAAAAGAAAAAAAAAGAAAACAAACAUCU
rnacentral:sRNA from 1 species